UGAUGUAUCCCCCCUUCUUCCCGUGAACUUGUGGUUUUGUUUCCUCCCCCGUUCUGGCAAGUGCGUACCUGGCGUAUGCACUGUCGCCUGCCUUUAAGGGAUAAAUAUUCUGGGGAAGAGAGCAGACGCUACCAGGAUGAGAAUUCCCUGGGAAGCUGCAUAGCCUCGCCGGCACCCUGGAGACCGCGGUGGGAGUUCAAAAGUCAUGCUUCCCCCGUCCCCCACCUUCCCUCUCUGUUCCUGGGGUGUUGGAACCUCGGCUGCCACACUCCGUCUACCGUCCUAAGCUCCAAGCCUGAGCCUGUAGCCAUCCAUACACUUAAGGUUAUUAUGGGCUUCCCCGGUGGCUCAGUAAUAAAGAAUCCACCUGCAGGAGACGCAGGAGACAUAGGUUUGAUUCCUGGGUGGGGAAGAUCCCCUGGAGGAGGACACGGGUUCGAUGCAUGA
rnacentral:lncRNA from 1 species